GGGGAUGAUCUGGAUUCGACGUUGAUUACGAAGCUAUGGGUGCAUGCCGAGAGCGUACGACGAUCUCGUUAAUAAACGUUGUACACUAGUUAUAGUCGCAAACGACGAAAACUACGCACUAGCAGCUUAAGUCUGCUUACCUCUGAACUCAGGUGCCUGUAACUGGGGGACGAGGGCAUAGCCCUACAGGAUCGCCCGGAUGCUUCGCUCGGAGCUGAACGGUUAAACUUAAAUCGAGCUCGCUAGCUACGCCCUGUCCCUCGGGCCGUAGUCGGCUAAAUCAGUAGAGAAGACUAAGCAUGUAGAUCCUCUAGUGGAGGAUUGGCGGACGCGGGUUCAACUCCCGCCAUCUCCACCA
rfam:Bacterioplanes sanyensis strain NV9 chromosome, complete genome.